rnacentral:rRNA from 1 species
GACGAACGCUGGCGGCGUGCUUAACACAUGCAAGUCGAACGGAAAGGCCCUGCUUUUGUGGGGUGCUCGAGUGGCGAACGGGUGAGUAACACGUGAGUAACCUGCACUUGACUUUGGGAUAACUUCAGGAAACUGGGGCUAAUACCGGAUAGGAGCUCCUGCUGCAUGGUGGUGGUUGGAAAGUUUCGGCGGUUGGGGAUGGACUCGCGGCUUAUCAGCUUGUUGGUGGGGUAGUGGCUUACCAAGGCUUUGACGGGUAGCCGGCCUGAGAGGGUGACCGGCGACAUUGGGACUGAGAUACGGACCAGACUCCUACGGGAGGCAGCAGUGGGGAAUAUUGCAGAAUGGGCGGAAGCCUGAUGCAGCAACGCCGCGUGCGGGAUGACGGCCUUCGGGUUGUAAACAGAUUUCGCCUGUGACGAAGCGUGAGUGACGGUAAUGGGUAAAGAAGCACCGGCUAACUACGUG